rnacentral:rRNA from 1 species
UACGUAGGGUGCAAGCGUUGUCCGGAAUUAUUGGGCGUAAAGAGCUCGUAGGUGGUUUGUUGCGUCGGCUGUGAAAUCCCGAGGCUCAACCUCGGGUCUGCAGUCGAUACGAGCAAACUAGAGUGUUGCAGGGGAGACUGGAAUUCCUGGUGUAGCGGUGAAAUGCGCAGAUAUCAGGAGGAACACCGGUGGCGAAGGCGGGUCUCUGGGCAACAACUGACGCUGAGGAGCGAAAGCGUGGGGAGCGAACAGG